rnacentral:rRNA from 1 species
ACCGGCGGCUCGAGUGGUGGCCACUAUUACUGGGCUUAAAGCGUUCGUAGCUGGCUUGUUAAGUCUCUGGGGAAAUCUUCCGGCUCAACCGGAAGGCGUCUCAGGGAUACUGGCAGACUUGAAUACGGGAGAGGGUAGUGGAAUUCCUAGUGUAGGAGUGAAAUCCGUAGAUAUUAGGAGGAACACCGGUGGCGAAGGCGGCUACCUGGACCGAUAUUGACGCUGAGACGCGAAAGCGUGGGGAGCAAACAG